UUGGAGGGCAAGUCUGGUGCCAGCAGCCGCGGUAAUUCCAGCUCCAAUAGCGUAUAUUAAAGUUGUUGCAGUUAAAAAGCUCGUAGUUGAAUUUCGGGGUUAGUAGGUUGGUCAUGCCACUGGUAUGUACUGGUCUCACUGAUUCCUCCUUCCUGAUGAGCCGUAAUGCCAUUAAUUUGGUGUUGCGAGGAAUCUGGACUGUUACUUUGAAAAAAUUAGAGUGUUUAAAGCAAGCUAACGCUUGAAUACAUUAGCAUGGAAUAAUGAAAUAGGACGUUCGAUCCUAUUUUGUUGGUUUCUAGGAUUGACGUAAUGAUUAAUAGGGAUAGUUGGGGGCAUUAGUAUUCAAUUGUCAGAGGUGAAAUUCUUGGAUUUAUUGAAGACUAACUACUGCGAAAGCAUUUGCCAAGGAUGUUUUCAUUAAUCAAGAACGAAAGUUAGGGGAUCGAAGACGAUCAGAUACCGUCGUAGUCUUAACCAUAAACUAUGCCGACUAGGGAUCGGAUGAUGUUAUUUUUAUAAUGACUCAUUCGGCGCCUUACGGGAAAC
rnacentral:rRNA from 1 species